GGGGCCACCCCCCCCCCCCCGCGGUGGCGAUGGUUCCAGGCCGUGGCCUCUGGUUGGCGGAAGCGUAGGCUCCCAUCGAGGCCGGUCCCCCGCCCCCCGCCCCUCCCCCAGCGCCGCGAAGCCGCAGGCUGUCUGCGUAGCCGCCGCCGUGACUCACCUUCUUCUUCCCCGCCGGGACCCGGGCGGCCUGGGUCUGUAGCCGUGGGCCUUCCACCCAGGCUCCGCAAGCCCAUCCUACAUCUCCCCGGGCAGGUGUGUUUGCAGGAGCUGUCUGGGCACCAUCGUCGUUUCUGACCCCAGGAUCCUUGCGUAGCUUGAAUAACCACCUCUUCAGCCCGCCUUGCUAAGGUUACUGCAUAAUCCCUGCGUUCCUGUCAAGAAGGAUUAGCCAUCUUCUCAGGUGGGAGGAUUCCAGACUCACUGGGCUACUGUCUAGAUCUGCAGUCUCAAUAGCAAUUUUUGAAUCCACUUCCAAUAGUCUCCAUGCUCAACGUGUGGCUCGAAAUCACGACCCUGAGACCAAGAGUCACAUGCUCCACCGACUGAGCCAACCAGGCCAGGCAAACAUUUCUAAGCAGAGAAAGAGAGAGCACGCAGACAAUGGGGAGAGACAGAGAAACGUAAGCAGGCUCCACGCUCAGCGCAGAGCUCAACGUCCCCGGGGAUCAAUCCCAUGUCUCUGGGAUCACGACCUGAGCCGAAAUCAUGAGUCGGACCCUCAACCGACUGAGCCACCUGGGCACCCCUUGAGAGACUACUUUGGAAGCCAGAUCUUGGACGACCAAGUUCACUGCCUCAACUGCCCCAAACCGAAGUGCCCUUUGUGGCCACGUAUAGUCAGGGGAAAGGACUAGUGCCCGAGGAAUCAUUUGCGUAUUACGACCACGCUCUCCUCCAGUCCUCCCGGGACCUGAAGGGGGUGUGGUGACUUGGCUCCCAUUCAUGCUGCCAGCUGUGAUGGCUCCACCAUGGGCAUGUGUGCCCGCCACAGUUAUGCCUUCUGUAUUCUGUGCCAACCGACCCCCCCUUAGAGCCCCUCCACAGGAGAUGACUGUAGGAUGUUGGGAUGUGUGAACUUGACAAACUAGAAAAAAACAAGCCUCUUCAUUUUAAUGGUAAUUUUAUCCUUUAUUUCUUUAUUUCGUCAUUUGUGCUCUUGGCAUAACCUGUUGUAGGUUCUGGGAAUACAGCGUCGAACCAAAGACACAAACACCUCUGUCGGCACGGAGCUUACUUUCUACCGGUGGGGACACAGGCAAUAAGCCAAGCAAAUAAGGAUAUUACGAGGUGGCCAAAAGAGAACUUUAGACUUAGAGUCUACGACACCAAGCAGGCUCCACACUGUCAAUGCAGAGUCCGACUCAGGGCUUGAACCCAUGAAAUGUGAGAUCAUGACCUGAGCCAAAAUCAAGAGUCGAACACUUAACCAACUGAGCCACCUAACCACCCCUCCCUCUGGAAAUGUGGUGGGUAUAAGAUGUCACGUACUAGCUCUAUGUAGUAUUUCUGCUGGAUUUGGUUGCAUUCUCUGUCAAGAACAAAACCCUUAGAAGCAUUUUAGUGAUCCUGCCUCUGCCUGUUUUAACCAGUUUUGUAUACAAACUUCCCCAGGCACAAGAGUAACUUUGUUGGGGCAUAUAAUUUGCAGAAUGUAAAUCUGGUGCUUAACUAAGUACUCAAAUUCAUUUAGAAAUCCCCUUAUAAAUGUAUUACAAGUACUAGUGACAUUUUAUAUAAUUUUCUUGAAAAUGAGUUUUAUGAUGGCGACAUAUAUCAUGUCUGGAAAUACUUAUUUUUAUAUCCUUUCCUUGCCCAAUUUAUUUUUAUUGUCAAAUUAUCACAAACGCUCAGGAAAAUUGAAGGAAUACUAGGAUAAUGAACCUGGCACAUCUUUUACCUAUAUACUUAAAAAAAUUUUUUUAAAUGUUUAUUUAUUUUUGAGAGAGACAGGAAUGCGAGUGGGUUAGGGGCAGAGAGAGGGGGAGACACAGAACCUGAAGCAGGCUCCAGGCUCCGAGCUGUCAGCACAGAGCCCGACACGGGGCUCGAACUCACAAGCUGUGAGAUCAUGACCUGAGCUGAAGUCAGACGCUCAACUGACUGAGCCACCCAGGUGCCCCUCACCUAUAUACUUUUUUAAUGUAAAUGCUGUCAUAUUUGUUUUCUUUGUGUCUGUCUCCUGAACCUUGUGAAAAUAAGUUACAGUUGUCAUGACCCUUAUAAUUCUAGAUAUAUCCAUUAAACUUCUUCAAAAAAGAAAUGUUCCUUCAUAACCACAAUGCUAUUGCCACAUCUAAAAACAAUUAACAAUAAUGUAAUAAUAUCAUCAUAUACCUAGUCCAUAUUCAAAUUUCACCAAUUACCCAAAUGUCUUUUAUAGCUAUUUUGAGAAUAAGUAUCUAGUUCAUGCAUUGCACUUGUGUUUAGAUAUUAUGUCUCUUCAGAUUCUUUUAAUCUGUAACGCAUCUAUGGUAAAACCUUGGUUUGCGAGCAUAAUUUGUUCUGGAAACAUGCUUAUAAUCCAAAGCACUUGUAUAUCCAAAUGAAUUUCAAGAACCAUUGGCUCAGUUAUGAUCAUGUGACAUUCAGCAUCAUGUACUACUUGUAUUGCAAGACAUCACUCAUUUAUCAAGUUAAAAUUUAUUUUAAAUUAAAAUUUAUUCCACUCAUCUUGCAGAACACUCCCAGAACAAGUUACUUGCAAUCCAAGGUUUUACUGUAUUUACCACCUUCCUUAUGACAUUGGCUUUUUGAAAAGUUGUCUUGUAAGGAAAGAAUUAUGAAAGCAGCAAGGGGAAAAAAGUUCUUAACCUAUAAAGGAAGACAGAUCAGGUUCACAGCAGACCUAUCCACAGAAACUUGGCAGGCUAGAAAGGAGUGGCAGGAUAUAUUCAACGUACUGAACCGGAAAAAUCUGCAGCCAAGAAUUCUUUAUCCAACAAGACUGUCAAUCAAAAUAGAAGGAGAGAGAGAUAAGGAGUUGCUCAGACAAACAAAACUAAACUAAAGGAGUUUAUGACCACUAAACCAGCCCUGCAAGAAAUUUUAAGGCGGAUUCUUUGAGUGGAGAAAAGACAAAACAAAGCAAAACUAAAAAGACCAAAAGCAACAAAGACUAGAAAGGACCAGAGAACAUCACCAGAAACACCAAUUCUACUGGCAACACAACGGCACUAAAUUCAUAUCUUUCAGUACUUACUCUAAAUGUCAAUGGACUAAAUGCUCCAAUCAAAAGACACAGGGUACCAGAAUGGAUAAGAAAACAAGACCCAUCUAUAUGCUGCUUACAAGAGACCCAUUUUAGACCUAAAGACACCUGCAGAUUUAAAGUCAGGGGAUAGAGAACCAUCUAUCAUGCUACAGUCAUCAAAAGAAAGCUGGAGUAGUCAUACUUACAUCAGACAAACUAGAUUUUAAAAUAAAAGCUAUAACAAGAGAUGACAAAGGGCAUUGUAUCAUAAUUAAGGGGUCUAUCUACCAAGAAGAUCUAACAAUUGUAAAUAAUUAUGCCCCCCAGGAUGUAUUCAAUGUGCUAAAUCGGAAAAAUAUGCAGCCAAGAACGUUUUAUCCAGCAAGGCUGUCAUUCAAAAUAGAAGGAGAGGUAAAACGUUUCCCAGACAAAUAAAAAUUAAAGGAGUUCGUGACCACUAAACCAGCCCUGCAAAAAAAUUUAAGGGGGACUCUGAGGGGAGAAAAGAUGAAAAAAAAAGAGACCAAAAGCAACAAAGACUAGAAAGGACCAGAGAACACCACUGGAAACACCAACUCUACAGGCAACAUAAUGGCAAUAAAUUCAUAUAUUUCAGUACUCACUCUAAAUGUCAAUGGACUAAAUGCUCCAAUCAAAAGACAUAGGGUAACAGAAUGGAUAAGAAAACAAGAUCCAUCUAUAUGCUGUUUACAAGAGACCCACUUUAGACCUAAAGACACCUUCAGAUUGAAAGUAGGGGGGUAGAGAACUAUCUAUCAUGCUAAUGGUCGCCAAAAGAAAGCCAGAGUAGCCAUACUUAUAUCAGACAAUGUAGAUCUUAAAAUAAAGACUGUAACAAGAGAUGCAGAAGAGCAUUAUAUCAUAAUGAAGGGGUCUAUCCAUCAAGAGCUAACAAUUGUAAACAUUUAUGCUCCAAAUGUGGGAGUACCCAAAUAUAUAAAUCAAUUAGUCACAAACAGAAAGAAACUCAUUGAUAAUAAUAUCACAAUAGUAGGGGACUUGAACACCCACCUACAGCAAUGGACAGAUCAUCUAAACAGAAAAUCAACAAGGACACAAUGGCUUGGAAUGACACACUGGACCAGAUGGACUUCACAGAUAUGUUCAGAACAUUUCAUCCUAAAGCAGUGGAAUACAUAUUCUUCUCCAGUGCAUAUGGAACAUUCUCCAGAAUAGAUCACAUGCUGGGACACAAAUCAGCCCUUAACAAGUACAAAGAUUGAGAUCGUACCAUGCAUAUUUUCAGAUCACAAUGCUAUGAAACUCAAAAUCAACCACAAGAAAAAAUUUGGAAAGAUGACAAAUACUUGGAGACUAAAGAACAUCCUACUAAAGAAUGAAUGGGCUAACCAAGAAGUUAAAGAGGAAAUUAAAAAGUACAUAAAUGAUAACACCACAGCCCAAAACCUCUGGGAUGGAGCAAAGGCAGUCAUAAGGGGGAAGCAUGUAGCAAUCCAGGCCUUCCUAAAGAAGAAAGAAGGAAGAGGGUUGUGUCUCAGAUACAUAACCUAACCUUACACCUUAAGGAGCUGGAAAAAGAACAGCAAAUAAAGCCCCAAACCAUCAGAAGACAGGAAAUAAUAAAGAUCAGAGCAGAAAUCAAUGCUAUCGAAACCAAAAGAAAAGAAAAGAAAAGAAAACAGUAGAAUAGAUCAAUGAAACCAGAAGCUGGUUCUUUGAAUUAACAAAAUUGAUAACCCCUUGCCAGACUGAUCAAAAAGAAAAAGGAAAGGACCCAAAUAAAUAAAAUCAAGAAUGAAAGAGGAAAGAGGCACCUGGGUAGUCCAGUUGGUUGUGUGUCUGACUUCGGCUCAGGUCAGGAUCUCGCCGUUUGCGAAUUCGAGCCCUGCAUCAGGCUCUGUGCUGACACCUCAGAGCCUGGAGCCUGCUUUGGAUUCUGUGUCUUCCUCUCUCUGCCCCUUGCUUGCUCAUGCUCUGUCUGUCUCUCUCUCUC